rnacentral:rRNA from 1 species
AGAGUUUGAUCAUGGCUCAGAACGAACGUUAGCGGCGCGCCUAACACAUGCAAGUCGAGCGAGAAAGGGCUUCGGCCCCGGUACAGCGGCGCACGGGUGAGUAACACGUAGGUAAUCUACCCCUGAAUGGUGGAUAACCCUCCGAAAGGAGGGCUAAUACAGCAUAAGACCACGGCUUCUUCGGAGGCUGAGGCCAAAGCGGGCCACUUCAUGAAAGCUCGCGUUUGGGGAUGAGCCUGCGGCCCAUCAGCUAGUUGGCGGUGUAAAAGACCACCAAGGCUAAGACGGGUAGCUGGUCUGAGAGGAUGAACAGCCACACUGGAACUGAGACACGGUCCAGACUCCUACGGGAGGCAGCAGUGGGGAAUCUUGCGCAAUGGGCGAAAGCCUGACGCAGCGACGCCGCGUGAGUGAUGAAGGCCUUCGGGUUGUAAAGCUCUGUGGGGAGAGACGAAUAAGGGCCGGCUAAUACUCGGCUCGAUGACGGUAUCUCCUUAGCAAGCACCGGCUAACUCUGUGCCAGCAGCCGCGGUA